GUGCUUGCUCAGGCAGCACAGAUUGGAAUGAUACAGAGAAGAUUAGCAUGGCCCGUGCGCAAGGAUGACAUGCAAAUUCAUGAAGAAUUCCAUAAGUUU
rnacentral:snRNA from 1 species